AUGAACGCUGGCGGCGUGCCUAAUACAUGCCAGUCGAGCGAACGGAUGAGAAGCUUGCUUCUCUGAUGUUAGCGGCGGACGGGUGAGUAACACGUGGAUAACCUACCUAUAAGACUGGGAUAACUUCGGGAAACCGGAGCUAAUACCGGAUAAUAUUUUGAACCGCAUGGUUCAAAAGUGAAAGACGGUCUUGCUGUCACUUAUAGAUGGAUCCGCGCUGCAUUAGCUAGUUGGUAAGGUAACGGCUUACCAAGGCAACGAUGCAUAGCCGACCUGAGAGGGUGAUCGGCCACACUGGAACUGAGACACGGUCCAGACUCCUACGGGAGGCAGCAGUAGGGAAUCUUCCGCAAUGGGCGAAAGCCUGACGGAGCAACGCCGCGUGAGUGAUGAAGGUCUUCGGAUCGUAAAACUCUGUUAUUAGGGAAGAACAUAUGUGUAAGUAACUGUGCACAUCUUGACGGUACCUAAUCAGAAAGCCACGGCUAACUACGUG
rnacentral:rRNA from 1 species